rnacentral:rRNA from 1 species
UACGGAGGAUCCAAGCGUUAUCCGGAAUUAUUGGGCUUAAAGGGCGCGUAGGCGGUCUAUUAAGUCAGGGGUGAAAGACGGUAGCUUAACUAUGGCAGUGCCUUUGAUACUGAUGGGCUUGAAUGAACUAGAGGUAGGCGGAAUGUGACAAGUAGCGGUGAAAUGCAUAGAUAUGUCGCAGAACACCAAUUGCGAAGGCAGCUUACUAUGGUAUUAUUGACGCUGAGGCACGAAAGCGUGGGGAUCAAACAGG